GAACUUAGCAGAGAUGCUUUGGUGCCUUCGGGGAACUCUGAGACAGGUGCUGCAUGGCUGUCGUCAGCUCGUGUUGUGAAAUGUUGGGUUAAGUCCCGCAACGAGCGCAACCCUUAUCCUUUGUUGCCAGCGGCUCGGCCGGGAACUCAAAGGAGACUGCCGGUGAUAAACCGGAGGAAGGUGGGGAUGACGUCAAGUCAUCAUGGCCCUUACGGCCAGGGCUACACACGUGCUACAAUGGCGCAUACAAAGAGAAGCGACCUCGCGAGAGCAAGCGGACCUCACAAAGUGCGUCGUAGUCCGGAUUGGAGUCUGCAACUCGACUCCAUGAAGUCGGAAUCGCUAGUAAUCGUAGAUCAGAAUGCUACGGUGAAUACGUUCCCGGGCCUUGUACACACCGCCCGUCACACCAUGGGAGUGGGUUGCAAAAGAAGUAGGUAGCUUAACCUUCGGGAGGGCGCUUACCACUUUGUGAUUCAUGACUGGGGUGAAGUCGUAACAAGGUAAGCGUAGCGAG
rnacentral:rRNA from 1 species